UAAAGUGGACUUUUAACCACAAACUUCCGGAGGAAGUUGUGUUUUACUCUAUUUUCUCAAGAUAAGAAAAUAAUAUCGGUAAAGUUGUUAUUGAUAGUCAUUAAAAUGAAAAUUGGACGAAAAAGUGAGAAAAAGUGCAAGUUAGCUCAAAAUGGAAAUUUGAGCGUUUUUGGCCAAAAUUGCCAAAAUAAAUUGUUGGAGGGUGAUAUUAUAAGGUAUGAUACUAUUGUUAUUUAUUUGGGAAAUAAAUAAUACGGAAUUUAUCGAGAAUCGAAUGAUUAAAGGAUUAGUGGACUAAAUUGGACGAAAUAAAAGUUAUAAAGUGAAAGUUGAGGAGGUGACAAACUCAAGGACUAAAGGAGACUUUUGCCUCACCUAUUUAAGACACUUGCAUAUGAGUUUAAACUCAGCAAGCAUAUCAUUUUCAGCUCCUAAAAUUCGUCCUUCACCCUUUCUCCAUGGAAGAACAUCAAGCAAAUUUCAAAUGGUCAUAACUCACUCAAUUUUGAUCCGAAUUGAGCGAUUCUUGUGGCCACGGAACGAGGGAAGGAUCCUCUACUGAUAUAUAGUAUCAAUUUAAGGUUAUUGAAAGCUUGAAGGGAGUAUUUUGAUGGUUGUUCAUGGAGGAAUUCAUUCAACCAAAGGGUUAUCCCAUCUAGAAAAGGUAUAAAUUCAGAAUUUUGGACUUUUGGUAAUGAAUUGAUUGAAUUGAGUGGAGUAUUGGUUAAGUUUGAAGUUGGAUUUUCUGGUUUGGUGUUGAA